rnacentral:rRNA from 1 species
UACGUAGGUGGCAAGCGUUGUCCGGAAUUAUUGGGCGUAAAGCGCGCGCAGGCGGUCUCUUAAGUCUGAUGUGAAAGCCCACGGCUCAACCGUGGAGGGUCAUUGGAAACUGGGGGACUUGAGUACAGAAGAGGAAAGCGGAAUUCCACGUGUAGCGGUGAAAUGCGUAGAGAUGUGGAGGAACACCAGUGGCGAAGGCGGCUUUCUGAUCUGUAACUGACGCUGAGGCGCGAAAGCGUGGGGAGCAAACAGG